rnacentral:rRNA from 1 species
UACAUAGGUCUCAAGCGUUGUUCGGAUUCAUUGGGCGUAAAGCGUGCGUAGGCGGCGCGGUAAGUCGGGUGUGAAAUCUCGGAGCUUAACUCCGAAACUGCAUUCGAUACUGCCGUGCUUGAGGACUGGAGAGGAGACUGGAAUUUACGGUGUAGCGGUGAAAUGCGUAGAUAUCGUAAGGAAGACCAGUGGCGAAGGCGGGUCUCUAGACAGUUACUGACGCUGAGGCACGAAGGUCAGGGGAGCAAACGGG